CCAGACAUUGCCUCAUUACCAUCUCAUCCAAGAAGUAUGUCUUGCAACAAAUUCUGAACUGCUACUAGACUGGUGACCUAAAAAAUGUCAUGGGCACCUUGUAAACAGAUUUCUGCAAAGCUUUGGAGUUUCUCAUAACAUCCUUGUGGACAAGAUGGAGAAAGUUAACCUGCGUGGAUUAUAAAUUUGCCAAACAAUCCAAAUGCCCAAGAUAGCGAAGACACAAUCGUGCCAGCAUGGAAAGUGGUUCCUUACAGAGUACAGCAGAGUUUGGCUAGGGGUCGUCUUAAUAAGCCAGAAGAUGAGGGAGGAAAGAAGAUGGAAGGGUACCUACUUCUUAACCACCUCAGCCAACAAGUUAUAUGUGCCAGAUUCCAUUCAUGAGAGCUAAUCAUAUAUCUCCACCGAAGUCCAAGAGGAAUUGGAAAGUGCAGUUCUUGGCUGCUUCCAAAAAGCCACUCCCCAGUAACUACCCUUCACUCUGAAAGGGGAAUGCAGAUCCUUGGUAAAGAGCCAACCAUCACUACUGCUAUCGGAUAAUAAAGUAAAUGGGCUUUAAGUUCUAACUCCAAUUUUCAUGGCUCUCAACUUUUGUAAAGGUUUAGCACACGAAAUACCCACUUGCAAUUAACUGCAAACUCUCCAAAUUUCUAAUUUGAACACAUUAAUCAUAAGCUCUUACACCAGACUUUAUGGACUCGAAGGGCAAGAACUGACUCCUCUGAACCUUGGUUGCCCAGGGUACCCUCUCUCCUGCCUUUAAGUUGCUUCCCAAAAAAUACCUGUUGAGUGAAUGAAUUGGGCAUUAUGUUAUCCAGGGUUCCCUAUACAAAAUGAGCCUGAAUUCAACCCUGAGUUCAAUGUCAAGGAUGUUUGUUUCUCAAGGUAAAUUUCUACCCCAUCUCUGCUCCUACCACAUUAAGCUAGUGGUGGUUCUGUGAGCAUGUGAUAUUGUGGUCCUUCACACAUAUCUAGACACAACUUCCUCUGCCUAGAUUGUUCUAUCCCCAUAUUCACCUAGAAAAUGCCUUCCCCUCCCUCAAGAGUUGGCUCAAGAAUGACCAUGUCUCCUCCACGUAGUCCUACCCAAUUCUUCCU